UACGGAGGGUGCGAGCGUUGUCCGGAAUCACUGGGCGUAAAGGGCGCGUAGGCGGCCUUCUAAGUCAGACGUGAAAUCCCCAGGCUUAACUUGGGAACUGCGUCUGAUACUGGGAGGCUUGAGUGCGGGAGAGGGAUGUGGAAUUCCAGGUGUAGCGGUGAAAUGCGUAGAUAUCUGGAGGAACACCGGUGGCGAAGGCGGCAUCCUGGACCGACACUGACGCUGAGGCGCGAAAGCGUGGGGAGCAAACAGG
rnacentral:rRNA from 1 species